CCUACGGGUGGCAGCAGUGGGGAAUAUUGCGCAAUGGGCGAAAGCCUGACGCAGCGACGCCGCGUGAGGGAUGAAGGUCUUCGGAUCGUAAACCUCUGUCAGCAGGGAAGAACGGUCACUGUGCUAAUCAGCAGUGCAUUGACGGUACCUGCAAAGGACGCACCGGCUAACUCCGUGCCAGCAGCCGCGGUAAUACGGAGGGUGCGAGCGUUAAUCGGAAUUACUGGGCGUAAAGGCCUCGUAGGAGGUAUGUCAAGUCAAGGGUGAAAUCCCCGCGCUCAACGUGGGAACUGCCUUUGAAACUGGCAAACUGGAGUGUGUGAGAGGAUAGUGGAAUUCCAGGUGUAGGAGUGAAAUCCGUAGAUAUCUGGAGGAACAUCAGUGGCGAAGGCGACUAUCUGGCACAUAACUGACGCUGAGGAGCGAAAGCGUGGGUAGCAAACAGGAUUAGAUACCCCUGUAGUC
rnacentral:rRNA from 1 species